rnacentral:rRNA from 1 species
AACGAACGCUGGCGGCAUGCCUAACACAUGCAAGUCGAACGAGACCUUCGGGUCUAGUGGCGCACGGGUGCGUAACGCGUGGGAACCUGCCCUUAGGUUCGGAAUAACUCCCCGUAAGGGGUGCUAAUACCGGAUAAUGUCUUCGGACCAAAGAUCUAUCGCCUUUGGAUGGGCCCGCGUUGGAUUAGCUAGUUGGUAGGGUAAAAGCCUACCAAGGCGACGAUCCAUAGCUGGUCUGAGAGGAUGAUCAGCCACACUGGGACUGAGACACGGCCCAGACUCCUACGGGAGGCAGCAGUGGGGAAUAUUGGACAAUGGGCGAUAGCCUGGUCCAGCAAUGCCGCGUGAGUGAUGAAGGCCUUAGGAUUGUAAAGCUCUUUUACACGGGAUGAUAAUGACAGUACCGGGAGAAUAAGCUCCGGCUAACUCCGUG